rnacentral:rRNA from 1 species
AUAAACGAUGCCAACUAGCGAUCCGUCGGCGUCAUUCCCACGACUCGACGGGGAGCCCCAGGGAAACCAAAGUCUUUGGGUUCCGGGGGAAGUAUGGUUGCAAAGCUGAAACUUAAAGGAAUUGACGGAAGGGCACCACCAGGAGUGGAGCCUGCGGCUUAAUUUGACUCAACACGGGGAACCUCACCAGGCCCAGACACUGGAAGGAUUGACAGAUUGAGAGCUCUUUCUCGAUUCGGUGGUUGGUGGUGCAUGGCCGUUCUUAGUUGGUGGAGCGAUCUGUCUGGUUGAUUCCGAUAACGAACGAGACUCUAUCCUGCUAACUAGUCGGCGGAUCGACUCCCAAGACGGGUUUCCAUCCGCGGGGUUUUCGGGCGGGGGUCGCUUCGACCCGUCGUCGUUCCUUCGCGGUCGCGUCGUUGUCGUCGCUGUCGUCGCUGCGGGGGGCGUGGCGCGCGGUUCGCGUUCGCGGCGGUAGGUCUUCGACGUCGGCGGCUCUCCAUCAUCGCUCGUCGGUGGUGGGGCGGUUUUCGUCGUCGUUCGUCGUCUCCGUCGCGACGCUCCGUCGCUAUUCCUUCGCACGGCGCGCGCGCUCGCGGCGCGGUUUAGCUUGGGGCCUGCGCGGCGGCGGUGUUCGGGGUCCUCGUCUUGCCUCGCGCGUUGGGGCUCUGCGAGGGGCGUCCGUCGCAAUAUCUUCUUAGAGGGAUCGGCGGCGUCCAGCCGCAAGAGAGAGAGCAAUAA